ACUCCUACGGGAGGCAGCAGUGAGGAAUCUUCCGCAAUGGACGAAAGUCUGACGGAGCAACACCGCGUGGGGAGUGAAGGUAGCGUAAGAUUGUAAACUCCUUUUCUGAGGGAAGAAUUCUGACGGUACCUCAGGAAUAAGCAUCGGCUAACUACGUGCCAGCAGCCGCGGUAAGACGUAGGAUGCAAGCGUUAUCCGGAAUUAUUGGGCGUAAAGCGUCCGCAGGCGGUCUAUUAAGUCAGAUGUUAAAGGUCUGAGCUCAACUCAGAUACGGUAUCCGAUACUGAUAGACUAGAGACAGGUAGAGGCGAGUAGAAUUCUGCAUGUAGGGGUAAUAUCCGUAGAUAUGCAGAGGAAUACCAAAAGCGAAGGCAGCUCGCUGGACCUGUUCUGACGCUCAUGGACGAAAGCGUGGGGAGCGAACGGGAUUAGAUACCCUGUAGGCUCUG
rnacentral:rRNA from 1 species